rnacentral:sRNA from 2 species
ACUAUAAUUAAAUAGUAUUCAAAGGAGGGAAUUAGGUGUAAUUCCUAAGCGGUCCCGCCACUGUGAAGAUAUUAGUCAAGCCAGGUUACUCCUUUGAGUAUAGCCAUUUUAUUCUACGAGCGAUGGAAUGUUAUGACUG